GGACCCUUGCGGAGUCUGUCGGAGGCGGGCUCAAGUUCAGGGCUGGGGACUGGGACCGAGACGCGGGGAUCCAGAAAGCAGGGGAGGCGCGCUAGUGGCCGGGGGCGGAGAGCUUGGGUGGGAGUGAAGGUUGCACACAGGCGCGCGCCCGCGCGCGGGCACACACACACACACACACACGCACGCACGCCCGAGAAAGGGCUGAAUGAUCUGAGUGACUGAAGCUGGCUCCGCACCCCCGCACUUCCGGGGGACAGAGCGAUGCGGGUUAAAAGGGUUGUGUGCGCCCUGGGUGUGGGAGCACGUAAGUGCGUUGAAGUUGAGCGGGUUUGAGAGUAGCCCUCCAAGAUGAGUAUGCUUGGAAGUUUAGUUUCGGAGAAGGAUCUGCGCCGCAGUGUGCUGUACCUGGAAACCAGAGAUUUGCGGUGUUCGGAACCGACUCAUCAGGGUCCCCGGCACAACACUUUAUUCUCUGGACGUGCCGGGGGAGGGGUGUUCGCUUUGCCUCCGAGGGACCCCUCCUCUAGGUGUGAAAGAUGCUAGCCCAGCGCCCAUGGGGUGUCGAAAGCAACAUAUAAAGGUUCGAAACUCAGGAAACCUCGGCGAUCGCCUGCGCUAGCACAUACACACGGUCCCGCGCACACUCAGUCUGCGCCCGCCCUUCCUCCCUCCCUGAUUUGCUUCUGGGAAAACAAGCCUUGAGAGCUGCGGACUCGCCCCAAGUCACGGUGCUUAAGCAGGAGUCCCUGGUAGAAACAGGCUGAAAACUCCCCUCCCCGCUCACUGGUGGAGUCAUAUCCUGUGCGGCCUCUAGGAAGCGCUAGACACAUAGGAGGAAAUAGCUCGCACCAGAUGGUUAUUUGCCACUUGAACUGGAGAGGAGGAGAGAUUGCAUCUACAACCGCCUUGAAUGUGCCUGAUCUUGUCUGAUCUCAGAAGCUAAGCAGGUGGUUCCCCAGACCCUGUUCAACUGUCCCGCAGGCCGGGACAGAAGCCAGCUAAGGUUGCUUGAUAGAAGGCUGAGAAAGAAUGAGGCUGCUGAGUGAAGCCAGAGGGAGAAUACGCUCAAAGACAAGCAGUUUAACCUAUGUACAGAGGAGCGCUCAAGCCACAGAAGUGCAUCAGAAAAUGCCCUCAGGACAUGCCCACAGGCCAGGCUGAUGAAGGCUAUUUCUCAAGGGAACAAUUGCAAAUGAAACACCCCUGUGUGUGAGGACAGCCCUGGGCACGUCACGGCAAGGCACGUGAGGAGUGGCCCAGGAAGGGGAGCAGGGACUAAAUGCUAAAAGCUCGGUGGCACAGACCUGACCCAGAAGUCCUUCUCUUAAGUCUGCAAAAGAGAGUGUGUGGCCCAGGACUGGACUGAACUGGAGCCCCGAGUGAGGCCUGGGGCCGAGAGAUUGAGGACUCUGUGAGCAUGGCAGGUCUCUCCACUCUGCUUCUCUCAGCCUCUACUUUCUAUUCAACCAUCUGACAACAGAAUUACUGCCCUCCUUGUGAUCGGAGUCCAGACGCUGACUUGGGAAUGAAAUGAAAAUGUGUUUAUGGUUUAGGGCAGGGCCCAACUCAGGGCAGCCUGUAGGCAAAAGUAGUGGCCGGGAAUUAACUCCAGAUUCUCUCAGGGCUGGAGCGAGCUCUCAGAAAAGGAGGAAGUUGGAGAAAACUUUCUUUUUCUACUUUUUUUUUUUUCCUAGAUUGUCUUUUUUUUUUUUAUUCUUAAAACCCUGAUUCUUUUGUCUAACUGGUGGUGGGGGGGGGGGGUUGAAGCAGUCUGUAGGAAAUGAAUGGGUUAUUUGAUAGUUAGGUAUCCAGUGUUGGACGUGUGUCCUAGUUACUGUGAUAAACAACGCUGUGGCCGAAAUCAACAGGGAGGAGAGGGGUUAUUUCACUUAGAGGUUACAGUCCAUUAUCAAAGGAUGUCAGGGCAGGGACGCAAGGCAGAAACUGAAGCAAAGACCACGGAGGAGCACUUCUUAGUAGCUUGCUUCUUCUAGGUGUUCAGCUACUUUUCCUACACAGCCCUGGCCCACCUGCCCUGGGAUGACACGGCCCACAAUGGGUUGGAUCCUCCCAUAUUAAUCAGAAAUCAAGAACAUGUUCUCAAAGAUCUGCCCACAGGCCAGUCUAAGGAACACUAUUCCUCACGUGAGGUUCCUUCUCUCCUCCCAAGCGACUCUCGUGUCAAGUUAACAAAACUAACCAACAUGACACACAUUUUAGUGAGACCCAUCCUGUGUUAUUUCCCCCCCUCAGCCCCCCGCACAGCCAGUUACCACGUGGUGGUGCCCGCAUUUGUAGAACUUCCAUGUUAGUAUAAUAUUGUUCCAAGGAAUCUCUUCAUGUUAGGUGGCUGAAGAACUUCCAAGGCCUCAGAGAGAGCAGCAGUAGCUCGGAGUAUCCUGGCAGGCAUGGUAAGGGCCCAAGAUACCGCCUAGGUAAAUACAUCACUGCAAGUGCCUUUAGGCAGCUCUUAGUGGUCACUCUAGAGUGCAUAGCAGUUGCUUGGAGUCCAGGAAGAUUGUGGGCGCUCCAGCAAAGGGAAUGUGUAAUUGCCAAACUGUUUUGUUUGUUAAGACAUUUGUGGAUAGCAGGAUCUGUCCCUACCUGCCGAGUUCUCCGGGGGAGGGGGGCGGUCACUCACUGGAACAGGGAUGGUCUCACAUGCAUGUUCUUUCCCAGGCUGGAGCAAGUGCAGAUUCUGUGAGUCAAGGGGAGAAGAGUGGUCAGGGAAUAAUGCCAGUGUUAGUUGGCAUCUGGGUCAAGCCCAGAGGACUCUUGGAAGUUGUGGAGUGUCAUUUGUAUCCUGGAAGCUGUGGAGGGGCUCUGGGCGACUUGAGCGUACAGUCAGGAGCAUUAGAUUCAGAGCUGGAGUCAGGAAACUCGGGUCGGAACUGCCUUUCUAAGGCAGAGACUGACUUGGAUUUGAGAGCCCUGGAUAGAAUACUGGGCUAAACACUACAUUUCUCAGAACCAGUCUUUCACCUGCUAACAACAUCACAAGUGUAGAGGUUAUACUGGAUAUGAUAUGUCACAGACAUAUAUGCUGGUUUUAGACACUGUAAACCUACUAAAUAGUAUUUGUAACUCAUAUUGGUGUGAGGGUGCUGGUGCUGUGUCUGUGUACAUCACUUCCUAUUAAAAUGACCAAUAACCUCCCA